rnacentral:rRNA from 1 species
UGCAGUCGAACGGCAGCAUAGGUGCUUGCACCUGAUGGCGAGUGGCGAACGGGUGAGUAAUGCAUCGGAACGUGCCCAGUCGUGGGGGAUAACGCAGCGAAAGCUGUGCUAAUACCGCAUACGAUCUAUGGAUGAAAGCGGGGGACCUUCGGGCCUCGCGCGAUUGGAGCGGCCGAUGUUAGAUUAGGUAGUUGGUGAGGUAAAGGCUCACCAAGCCUACGAUCUAUAGCUGGUCUGAGAGGACGAUCAGCCACACUGGAACUGAGACACGGUCCAGACUCCUACGGGAGGCAGCAGUGGGGAAUUUUGGACAAUGGGCGAAAGCCUGAUCCAGCAAUACCGCGUGCAGGAAGAAGGCCUUCGGGUUGUAAACUGCUUUUGUACGGAACGAAACGGUCUGGAUUAAUACUCUGGGCUAAUGACGGUACCGUAAGAAUAAGCACCGGCUAACUACGUGCCAGCAGCCGCGGUAAUACGUAGGGUGCAAGCGUUAAUCGGAAUUACUGGGCGUAAAGCGUGCGCAGGCGGUUUUGUAAGACAGGCGU